rnacentral:lncRNA from 1 species
AGAGAUAGAAAGAAAACAAUCACAGACCACCACCAAAGAUCUAAAUCUUGAUGGAACAAAACCAUCAAGAUUUUAGAUUUAGACAGAGAUUCACUUCCAUUCAAAGAGGAGAGACAAGAGAAAAUUAAACAGAAAACAAAGAAAGGUAAACAAUUUCUACUGGAAAAAGAGCUCCCAGGGAGCUCUUCCCCUAGGAAAUAAUAGGGAAGGUAAGGAUUUGUUUGAGUUGGCAACGGAUGACCUAAAAAAUUUUGUGGAAAAGAAACCCAGUAGUUUAACAUUGGUUGAACCAUAAAUUCUCCACACAAAUUAAUAGAAGUAACCUAAAUAUUCAAAAUUUGUCUAACUAAUUUUGAUAGAUAUCAAGAAAUCAAAUUAUAUUUUUCAAAAUAAGAGAUGGUUCACUGAUUCAUACGAUGGGGUUCUGUAA